GACACACAAAAGGCGUCGCGACUAGGAAAUUUAUUUUGGUAUUUAGACGGCAGUGUUUCGCGGUCGAUCCGCGGGUUGCUCAGUCUAACGAAAUAAAUUUCGCCACUAUUAUUAUAUUUUGGGUUCAUCGAUAUUCAAAAUCCGCAACACAUUGCGUACGUAAAAUUCCUUGUGACGUACUUAAUCAGAACAUCGAAGUCAGUUGGAUAUGCCUAAAGCUACAGUCCGAGUUGCAUAAUCACACUCAAUAAAGUGGACGUGGAGGCAAUUACCUGUGACAAGAAUCUGAUGACAACUGACACAAUAUAAUCAGUCACCACCAAGUCGAGUGACAAGAUCAACAGCCCCAACAGCGCUUUGCCUGGGAGGUUUGAGCAACUGCGGGUGGUUUCAUCAAAAAUUUGUUAUUAAAUCUUCUUGUUUCUUCUCUCGUUUCCGGUUUGCCUUCAUCACGGGAACGUGGGGAAAAUCCGAAGCACGCCCUUCCCGCAUGCAGCUGAGUGACCCAAAAGCACAGUUAAGUUAACCAAGCCAGUGUUAGACAGUGAUAAUUUUUGCUGUUAUUGACAACGCUGCGACAACGGAGAGCGAGCGGGAAUGUGACGAUGCAAACACAAUACAAAAUAUAGCAACG